rnacentral:rRNA from 1 species
ACUCCUACGGGAGGCAGCAGUGGGGAAUAUUGCACAAUGGGCGCAAGCCUGAUGCAGCCAUGCCGCGUGUAUGAAGAAGGCCUUCGGGUUGUAAAGUACUUUCAGCGGGGAGGAAGGCGAUAAGGUUAAUAACCUUGUUGAUUGACGUUACCCGCAGAAGAAGCACCGGCUAACUCCGUGCCAGCAGCCGCGGUAAUACGGAGGGUGCAAGCGUUAAUCGGAAUUACUGGGCGUAAAGCGCACGCAGGCGGUCUGUCAAGUCGGAUGUGAAAUCCCCGGGCUCAACCUGGGAACUGCAUUCGAAACUGGCAGGCUAGAGUCUUGUAGAGGGGGGUAGAAUUCCAGGUGUAGCGGUGAAAUGCGUAGAGAUCUGGAGGAAUACCGGUGGCGAAGGCGGCCCCCUGGACAAAGACUGACGCUCAGGUGCGAAAGCGUGGGGAGCAAACAGGAUUAGAUACCCUUGUAGUCCCAUG